AUUGAACGCUGGCGGCAGGCCUAACACAUGCAAGUCGAACGGUAACAGGAAGAAGCUUGCUUCUUUGCUGACGAGUGGCGGACGGGUGAGUAAUGUCUGGGAAACUGUCCGAUGGAGGGGGAUAACUACUGGAAACGGUAGCUAAUACCGCAUAACGUCGCAAGACCAAAGAGGGGGACCUUUGGGCCUCUUGCCAUCGGAUGUGCCCAGAUGGGAUUAGCUAGUGGGGGGGGUAAAGGCUCACCUAGGCGACGAUCCCUAGCUGGUCUGAGAGGAUGACCAGCCACACUGGAACUGAGACACGGUCCAGACUCCUACGGGAGGCAGCAGUGGGGAAUAUUGCACAAUGGGCGCAAGCCUGAUGCAGCCAUGCCGCGUGUAUGAAGAAGGCCUUCGGGUUGUAAAGUACUUUCAGCGGGGAGGAAGGGAGUCAAGUUAAUACCUUUGCUCAUUGACGUUACCCGCAGAAGAAGCACCGGCUAACUCCGUG
rnacentral:rRNA from 1 species